GAUGUCCUUUGCAUGCACUCUGCCAUUGGGAUGCCAUCUGCAGAGGCCAAACAGAUGAGGCUGCCUGAUCUUGGAUUCUCAGCCUCCAAAACUAGCUUACCUUCGGUCUGCCAUUUCCAAACACAGCAGUCUCUACUACCGAGAUGCAGGUAUCAUCCUCAGAUCUAAGUCAAUUAUGUUGCUCUACCAAGAACCAGCAAGUGGCUUCCCAUUUCAUCAA